GAUUCUCCAUCUCCACGCUACCACCUUAGAGGUAGUUGCAGAGAGCUACAAGAUCUCCUGUGAUCCUCCUUGCCUCUAUAGUAAACAGUUGCAGUUCCUGCAGCCACUCCUGGGUUUCCUGCAGGAUGCUGCAUACUGAAUGACUGGUUUGGAGGCUGUCAGUUGACUGUACAAACCCUGGGAAAGCUUUCAUUGUUGCUGUUGUUUCAUUUUUCCCUGUAGUGAACCUGUUGACUAGCUUUUUCUUAGCUUUUAAGUUUAGCUGGAGGCUUUUUGACAUCUUCAUUGAGCCAGGUCCUGAGUUUCCAUAUGCAGUAUGUUUGAUCCAUAUUUGCUUUAACACUGGCUGCCAAGGUGCCAAGAUGUUUAUAACUUUUAGCAGAUUUGUAAAUAGAGCUGUUUUCUGAAGUAACUAUUUCUCCCUAUAAGAAAGAGUUACGUAAAAUAUCCUGGGCCAUCCAUAGUCCAACAGUUAAAAGUUAUUCUCUGUUUCUCCAGGAUGCUUGAAUUAGUAGAUUUAUAAUUUAUUUUCUAUUUUUAGACAUCACUGGAAAAAUGAGAGAAAAGUAUGAUGUGUACUCUAAUUUAGCAAAAUUCUCCUUUUGUGCUUUUAUCCUUUGAUUAUCUUUCCCCAUCCUGAAAAUUUUACAGACCGGUUUUAUUGCAAUAUUAAUCAGAACUGUCAAAAUGUCCAUCAGUUUAAUUUUUUCGUCAGAAAAGAUGUAUGUCCUUCUAUGCAUUUUUUUUUUUACUACUUCCCUUUACUUUUCCUAUGGUGUUUUGUUCUUUUGUGUGUGUGCUUUUUUUCUCAAUUGUAACAAUUUUGCAAGUGUGUUUUAUAUUUUUCUGAUACUUGACAAGUUGGUUCUCAGCACAGAAACGAUCCUGUGAUCCCCUGGGACACUUGAAAACGCAUUGUUUACAAUGCUGAGUAAGGGAUAAAGUUGCUGUUUUCAGCAGAGUGCAAUAUAUUCAGUAGCAAUAAGGCCUUUUCCACAUUGGUUUUUGUAGCACGAGAUCUUGCUAGGGCCAGGAAGCAAUCACUUAUUCAAAAACAUCAAUGCUUUGUCUUCUGGUCAUGCAGCAUUUAUUAGGAGAAUGAUAAAGGAAGCGAUACCUGGGAGGCCAUGAUACUGCUCUGUGCUGCCUGUAUGGACAAAGCGGUUCAUGCCUUCCUCAUCCAUCCUGCUGCAGUCCACUAAUGUUUGCUUCCACCUUUUGCGUAGUGCACUGCAGCUACAUGUCCAUCCCUGGGGGUGGCAGGACACCUGUGGCCAUGGUUGCAUUGGGCAGCUGUUGACUCCCUUUUUUCUCCUGAAUAUCAGGAACAGUUACAUUUAGCAUGUAGUGCAACGUGAUUCAAGCAAAUUGCUAAUUGUAAUGAACCUAAAUAAGACUGUUUAUCAAAAUGCUGUUCAUCUUUCUUGAAUGUGACUUUUUUCACUGGAGGGCAGGACGGGCAAAUAGUAAUACUGGAAUGAAAUGGAAGAUUGGUUAAUAUACUGGCUUGCUGAGCUUUUUCUCUCUUUUUUUCAGAUUAUAUAAUUGUUGUGAAUCUACUUACAUAUAUUAAAAGGCCACGAAGUAU
ensembl:lncRNA